UGCCUUGCAGGUAUGCUGACGUCCAUUGUGGUGGCCUCAGCGAUGGGACUUGUGCUCACUGUGACACUCGUCUGCUGUUUGUUGAGGAAGAAAAGGGCUGAGAGAGACCAGCAGAGGGCCAAGAACAUCAUGUACAAGCCAGGCGAGAAAGAAUCUAUCUCCAAAGUGUAACUCUUCAUCACCCGAGAGCAACACAGCUGCAGUGACAAACAAACCAAAAAACCUAUCUGCAAAGGCGCAUGGUGCCCAGCUCAACUGACUGUGCGGCAUAAAUCAGAUCUUUUUUAUUUUUAUUUUUAUUUUUUUUAAUUGACAGGUGUCCUUUUUGACACCCAAGUUUGAGUGUGUAUAUUUAGAUCAGGAGGGACGGGAAUACACAGCUGUAAUGCGUUCACGGGGUUUGGAUGGAUUGUUUUUUGCCCAUGUGACUGUUCUGUUCCAACUGGACUUCCUUUUCAUAUGCUUCUGGCAGGGAGAGACAACGCUAUGACUGGCUGCCUUUAUGCUGACUGAGGUCGGGGAAGUGGUGGUGGUAUAAUUUAACAUAGGAUAGAUUUCCACUGGGUAGUGAGAAAUUCUGUCUUCUCCAGCAACAGUCAUUCAUUGUCAUGACUCAUGAGUAACUUCAUUGCUUCUCAAACUACCAGAGGGGAUACAGGGCACAGGCCAAAAGGUGAGAUGUUUGUAAGAUUCAUAUGUAAAGAGGUAAAUGGAGGUGAGGAGGAACAGGGCGGGGCUCCUAAGCGCUGUAAAAAGAGUAGGGGCACAUUCAAUCGGAAAACAUUUUCCUAUGGUUUCCAUGUUGAACGAUACAUUUCCUCCCAAUGCCGUGCAUUGUUUUGCAAUGUCUGUUUGCUCCCGUUUGGUGGUUGUGUCAGGGGCGUAGCCCGAAUUAAUAAUGAUGUAGGCCUAUGCGAGAAUGUACAGAAUGGCCUUCUCAGACGCCAUAGUAGCAAACCGUACCCGUACUCGUGUCAGUCCGCCCACGGUUUGCACCAGGAUGUUCCACACACCACCGUUUCCAUUUAAGUAAACAUUGAGGCUGAACAUGACCCAGCUCUCAGGGACAACAGCCUGGCAAAGGACACCCCGUGCUGCAUCGGGGAUCACGUAUCUACAAUAUCCCCUGGAUUCCAUUCCAUCUGGAGAGAUCGCAGAGUUCUACAUGGGUGACCUGUGGGAAUAAUGCACAAAACCCCAUUGUUUGCCCUGGACUGGCUGUGGGCUGACCCCUGACCCCGCUCUGCCUGACCAGUCAUGAGACCGACGCCCAAGCGACUGCGGAGCCAAAGAGGAGGUGCUUGAACCUCACGGCCUGCUACAGAACACCAGUAUCCAAUAAGCUUGACAAAAUGGCCUCCGAUCUCACUGCCUGACUGAGUAUUACAAUCCAGUUUAUUCCAGUUGUAUUGCCUCGUUCAAGAUUCCAGGGACAAACUGGAAUCACUAAUAUAAUUGAUCUGUCCAGACAAUGUGCAAAUUCACUUAUGAUCUAAGAUACAGCCUGUAAAUACAUACAUGUAUUUAUGCAUUUAGAAAUUUCUUUAAAUAGAAAUGAAUUACUUUUAUUACAUUAAUUUAUUUAAAUUGAAAUAUAAAUACAUAAAGGUAUUGUCCCACAUCAUUGCCAUUGUUAUAUAUCGUGUUGCUGAGGAUUUAAGCCUGGAUGAAAAAAAAAAAAAAACCCUCAUAGUUUUGUAAUGCUGAUUAACAUGAUUUCGGUGAAUACAGGGUACCUUCUAAGAUUGUUUUUCUCGCUGAUGUUUUGUCAUUCUGAUUUUUUGAUGUUUUGAUGUUAUAAUUGCAGAGGUUAUUGCUGUAUUAUUUUGUCUUUUUUUGUUGUAACACCUUCUGUGUAAAGCAGAGAAUGUUACUGGAAGCUUAAUACGCUUGAUUUUGAAAGGUUAAGAUUCAAAUGUUUCACAAAUUGUGGCACACAUUCUUUAUAAAAGCUGUUCUUGUAAGACCUGA